rnacentral:rRNA from 1 species
AGAGUUGAUCAUGGCUCAGGACGAACGCUGGCGGCAUGCCUAACACAUGCAAGUCGAACGAGGAUAGCAAUAUCCGAGUGGCGAACGGGUGAGUAACACGUGAGUAACCUGCCUCAUACAACGGGAUACCCACAGGAAACUGUAGUUAAUACGGUAUAAGACCACAGAAACACAUGUUUCAGUGGUAAAAGAUUUUAUCGGUAUGAGAUGGACUCGCGGCGCAUUAGCUAGUUGGUGAGGUAACGGCUCUACCAAGGCGACGAUGCGUAGCCGACCUGAGAGGGUGAUCGGCCACAUUGGGACUGAGAUACGGCCCAGACUCCUACGGGAGGCAGCAGUGGGGAAUAUUGGGCAAUGGGGGAAACCCUGAUCCCAGCCAUGCCGCGUGAGUGAAGAAGGCCUUCGGGUUGUAAAACUCUUUUAAUGGGGAAGAUGAUGACGGUACCCAUAGAAUAAGCACCGGCUAACUUCGUGCCAGCCGCAGC